AGAGUUUGAUCCUGGCUCAGGAUGAACGCUGGCUACAGGCUUAACACAUGCAAGUCGUGGGGAAACGGCAUUAUGUGCUUGCACAUUCUGGACGUCGACCGGCGCACGGGUGAGUAUCGCGUAUCCAACCUGCCCCUUACUUGGGGAUACCCCGUUGAAAGACGGCCUAAUACCCGAUGUGUUUCAUUGACGGCAUCCGAUAUGAAACAAAGGUUUUCCGGUAAGGGAUGGGGAUGCGUCUGAUUAGCUAGUUGGCGGGGCAACGGCCCACCAAGGCGACGAUCAGUAGGGGUUCUGAGAGGAAGGUCCCCCACAUUGGAACUGAGACACGGUCCAAACUCCUACGGGAGGCAGCAGUGAGGAAUAUUGGUCAAUGGGCGGAAGCCUGAACCAGCCAAGUAGCGUGCAGGAUGACGGCCCUAUGGGUUGUAAACUGCUUUUAUGCGGGGAUAAAGUGGCCCACGUGUGGGCUUUUGCAGGUACCGCAUGAAUAAGGACCGGCUAAUUCCGUGCCAGCAGCCGCGGUAAUACGGAAGGUCCGGGCGUUAUCCGGAUUUAUUGGGUUUAAAGGGAGUGUAGGCGGUCUGUUAAGCGUGUUGUGAAAUUUAGGUGCUCAACAUUUAACUUGCAGCGCGAACUGUCAGACUUGAGUACACGCAGCGCAGGCGGAAUUCAUGGUGUAGCGGUGAAAUGCUUAGAUAUCAUGAGGAACUCCGAUCGCGAAGGCAGCCUGCGGGAGUGUUACUGACGCUUAAGCUCGAAGGUGCGGGUAUCGAACAGGAUUAGAUACCCUGGUAGUCCGCACAGUAAACGAUGGAUGCCCGCCGUUGGCGCCCUGCGCCUGCGGCCAAGCGAAAGCAUUAAGCAUCCCACCUGGGGAGUACGCCGGCAACGGUGAAACUCAAAGGAAUUGACGGGGGCCCG
rnacentral:rRNA from 1 species